rnacentral:rRNA from 1 species
UACGUAGGCAGCAAGCGUUGUUCGGAGUUACUGGGCGUAAAGAGUGCGUAGGUGGUGCCCUAAGUCUGUUGUGAAAUCUCCCGGCUUAACUGGGAGGGUGCGGUGGAAACUGGGGUGCUUGAGUGUGGGAGAGGUAAGCGGAAUUCCUGGUGUAGCGGUGAAAUGCGUAGAUAUCAGGAGGAACACCGAUGGCGAAGGCAGGUCUCUGGGCCAUAACUGACGCUGAGAAGCGAAAGCAUGGGGAGCGAACAGG